GUUCAAAAUCUCCUAUUAUGACCAAUUGGAUGACUGUCUUCUCCCUUAGUGGACUCCUCAGGAACAACAUGGACCUCCAAAACACCCAGGGGCAUAUGGAUUGUGGAGCACUGGGAGAAACAGCCAGGAUCCUCCCUUGGGCAAUUGUCUUCUGACAGGGAGCAGCAACUUUGCUUUGCUGUAAGAGAGGCCUGAGCACUGUUGUAUCCUGUUCAUUAGUCCAUUUAAAAUCAAGGUUUUUCCCACAUUUUAUGCCAUCCACAUCUUUGAUUUUGACAGUGAAAUCUUGGAGGAGCCUUGAGCUGUGUUCCCAUGCAGUGCCAAGCCUGGACACUUCCAGGCUGAUGUGCCUCUAACCUGCUGUGAGA
rnacentral:lncRNA from 1 species